GCUUAUCGAUAUUCAGGGAGAAACUGGCUUCAGAAGAAAAUGUGAUUAUCAUUGCCAAAUAACAUUAGGCAAGGAAAUCUGUAUUUCAGUUAGUUUCUUCUCUCUCUACAGAUUGGCAUGAACUUACCAAUUUUUCCUUCUUUUCAAAGCAUGUAUCCAAAACUACACUUUCUAAGAUAUUGGCCAGGAGAUGCACCUAAAUACAAAUAACAUCAAUUAAUUGAACAGUCAUUUCAGACUAUUAGAAGCCAGACUUCCUUUUGGGGAGAACUUAGUAGUUUAGUAUUCCUCGGGCUGGCUACGUAAUUGGUGGGGCCCAAUGCCAAGUGAAAAUGUGCAGUCUCUAUUCUGAAGCAGCGAAAAGUACCCUGAAAGAUAUUAAUAUAAAGCUUUCUUUCCCUUUCUUCCUCAGUCUCUCCCUCCUUCUCAAUUUGAGGUAGUGUGUUUUAUUUGCUAUUUAAUGUUAUUCUAAGUAAAGAAAAAGUUUUAAAAUUAUGAGCAUGAAUUUUACCACUCAUCUUUGUAUUGUGCAAAGUUAAUUUUAAGUGUAAAUAUAAGGACAGUGAACUCAUAUGCAGUCAUUGAAAUUAUAGUGCACAAUUUUUCAGCUCAUAUGUACAUAUGUAUUUUUUUCUUACCAGAACAGUGAAAAGGCUGCACAAAACUAACUCAAUUUCUUAUUUCACUUCUGGAUAAACAUACAUUCUACCAACACUCUCUGCCUUUGGCUUACUGGUGAGUAAAGAAAAACUAAAAAGAAAAGGGGCUAUGAGUUUGCCUUAUCGUUCCCUUUCCUUUUAUGUCAUCAUUUUCAGGAUAGUGUUUGCCUAAUACAGGGAUGUAACAAGAAUAAGAAAUUAUAUGAUAAGGUUUCUUUGUUCAUUAGUGUUUCUUAAAAUGCUUUUGCUGUCUUCCUGCUGUUGCCUUCUUUCUUCAUUUGAAGAAUGUACUGGUUCAAAUGGAAAGCAGAGCCUCUUGAGACUGUCAACAUUUCUGCUUCUUCAGUCUUUGAUGUAACACAGCUACCUCGUACUCACUUGGAGUCUCAUCGAACUCCCAUGUGGGUGGGUCCACCAGGAUUCUUUGUUCAUGGGCAUUCCGACUACCCUGUAUGGAUGGGGUGGCAAGGAAUGGUGGCAGACACAUAUAUUAAUAAUGUGUAUAGCUCCUUUGCUCACACACAUGCUCCAUUGCCCCGUUGGACUUCACUUACAAAGCAUAAAUUCAAAGAUAACAUUAAUUAGUUUCAAGACAACAACUGCAGAGCAUUAGACCAAGCACGGGGCGCGUGGGGUUCUCUGUGACUACGCAGGUCAGCACAGUGUCUUACCUUCCCCGAUCGCAUUCUUUUCCCUGCUCCUCUCCCCAGUAACCACUGUCAUUUUUUUUAUUUUCGUACGUAUCUUUAUUAUUUUGCUUCAUGUGUAUAUUUUAAAACAUGUAUUUAGUAUUGCUGGGCAUGUUUUAAAACUUAAUGCAAACAGUGUCAUUUGGGACCUACAGCUUAUUUUUUACUCUCAAAACACUUACUAUAUAUUUUUGAAGUUUGUCCAUAAUACAGUGGCAGUAGCCUUUGUGUCUGGUUUAAUUUUGUGUAUCUGAAAGUCCAAGUUUUUGAGUAGAGAGUUGUUGACUAUUAGUGAAUGCCCUAUUUCUAGCUCAUGUGGAGUGUGUCUGGUGAUUAGCCUCUGAGGCUGUAUUUAACCAAAAAUUUGUUUAGAGUCUUGAGUCAUCGACCCUUAUCUGUUUCAUUGAGUUUCCAUUGAGCCCAUUGUCUCAGUGAAACAUAGGUUGGAAAAGUUUACUGGUUUUUCUUGCAGUCAUUAGCUGUGGGAUGGCACAGCCAUGGAGAAUGAGAUGGAUGAUUUUUUCUGGUUACGUCAUUUAUCUUCAAACUAGAUUGAAUUGGUAUAAAAGGAAGCAUAUAGAGAUACAGAAUCAAAGCCAGAUAAGGCUCAUCUUACCCAGAAACAGAACAAAUGAUUACUUAUCUAUAAAAUGUUAUUUGAGAAUAGCCUAUCUGCUGUGAAUAUCUCUCCACAAAUUAUUCCUUUAUGUAAUCAUUGCCCAAUCCCAUUAUACACAUUACUUUUUAGAAUUUUUAAUAUUAAGUAUGACCCUUUGGUAUCAGUGACAUUAUCAAGUUGAUUUCUUUCGUAAUAGAAAAGAGGCAACAUGAUAGGGCACUUGGUCCUUGGGUGUGGGAAGAAUUUGAAGCCAAGAAUUUUUAAAAAGAGAAAGGACAGUCAAAAUGUGAAUUUUUUUUAAAGGAGACAAAUAUUGAGAAUUAAUCACUUCCAUUUCUAGGCUACCAGUCAUAUACCUGGCACAUGAGAAGUGCUUUGUGUACAUUUAAAUCCCAUUCAGUCCUCACAACACCCCAAAUGAUAGGUAUUGGUUUUAUCAUUAUAUAAAUGAGAAAAGUUGAAAGACACUAAGAUAUUUCCCUCAAGGUCCCAGAAUUGGUGAUGAGAAGACUAGAACUUGAACCGAGAAGGCACAGAAGCAGGGCUCUGUACACAUUCCAGUAAACCAGCCUUGCUGAUGCCACAGUUUUGCAGUGACCUAGCCUUGCCUGAGACAAGAGUCACCACUGAUGUCUGGUAGAGGGUGAUGCCUAGAUGCAUGCUGCGACUUUUGUGCAUAGUAAAUAUAUAAGUUGGAUGUGGGUUGGCCAAGUGGGAAAAGAAGUAGAAUGUUAGUGGUUAUGUGGUUUCUAAAGCAGAGCCAGAAAAACUAAAGUCACCAUCUUUUAGGUUUUAUAGACCUGCCUUUGGCCUCAAAGAAUCAUUGCCCUACUUGAGGUCUAUUUGUGGCUGGCUGGCCUUCGGAAGCAUGGGAAGAGUGGUUGGACUGUCACCCACCUCCCUCUGCCCUGAUUGGGCUAGGCCAGAGUCCUCAGCAAUUAACAAGUGUCCUUUCUCAGUGCGUAUGUGGGCUGUUCAUCUUUCUUUCCAUUCCUCUUAGCCUUCCUCCCCAACUCUUCUAUAACAUGGGCGUGGCUCCCAUUUCUCCAAAACGUCUGUAGCCUGGAGGGCAUUCUGAUGCUCCACCCUGACACCAUAUUUUUGAGCCUGCAUCAGCAGCCAUUCUGCUCACUCUUAUUAUAGUCUUUUCAUAUGACCUUGAUUCAUCUUGCUAUCUUUAACUUGGCUCUCUUAACCAAGGCACAGGUAAUCACUUUAUCAGCCUUUCUGUUUUAAACAUGCCCUUUAUUUAUCAUCCCCGUAGGAACCUCUCUGGCUUGAUCACAUAAUUUUCAGACUUCCUGAUAUCUGAAUGUGGCACAUACACACCCUGACUAAUAGUGGCUGAUUUUAAUCUUCUUGGCCACAAUAAAUCUGACACAUACCUCAAGCCAAUGGCAUGCUCAUCUUAAUAUUUUGAUCCCUUUUCCUUUACCACAGAGAUUGCUUGAUUUAAGAAAGUAGCUGUGGCAUGUGCUGUUUUUACUGACGUUGGAGUGUCAGGUUGGCAUUCCAGCACACUUGAAUUUCUGCAACCCUGUUUCAACCUAAUCAUUCCAGGCUUAAAAAUAUUUUGCCUAUCUGAUAUUUGCUGGUACUGAAGUUCAGUUAGUUUUUUUCAUAUCUUGUAUCUCAUAGAGUAAUAAGAAAUAUGAAAGAUUGAAGAUUUUUCCUCUUAGUUUUUUAUAGUCCCGUAAGAUAUCUAUAGGAAGUAAAUUGUUCUAGAGACAGUAAAAGUAGUGCCUAAAAUUUCCAUAUCACUUUUCUUCUCCAGGUCUUAUUGGAGUGGCAUUUAUCUGGCUAUAUGAAUAAGCGAUCCUCCAAGCAAGGCAUGUGUUUAAAAUAGAGUGAUGGCAGAGCAAACCAUCACACACCCUGGUGAAAAUCUAAAUGUGGGCACUAGUCAUUCUUUAGCUUGUUUUUGUUUUGUUUGGUUGGUUUUUAAAGGUCAUCUGUCUAACCCUCCUGGUGGAAACUGAGGCCAAGAAAGAUUGCCUUAUAUGGCAACUCAGAUAAUUUCAAGGCAAAAAUGGGCUCAAACCUAGGACUCAUGAGUUCACGUGCUCAUGAACCCCUAGGAUUUUGGAACCUAACUUCCACAUAAUAUUGAAUUAUUGACUGAUGAAGCAAUAGAACCUCUUUAAGGCAGAAGUACUGUGUUCCUACUGAGUUUUUUAUACCAAUGUGUCUCCUAUAGUUUCAGGUAAAUGAGCUUAAAUAUCUAAACUUCACAUACCUCAAAAGUUCAUAACCUCAAAUCCUGUUAUCCCCAAAUGAAACUAUAACUUAUUUCCAUGAGAUAUGUGCACCAUCCUCCUUAAUCCAUGAACUAUUUGUUAAGUUUAUAUGGAUAGUAUAUUUUUUUAAGAGCUAGAUAAAAUAUUCCUUGUCCUUGAGUAGGUGCCUACUCAAUUGGAAAGAAAAGACGGAGAAUUAACAAAUAGUAAUUAAGUGCUAAUUGUGUGGUACCAAUCAUUGGUGCCUUACAGCUUUAAGGGAAAUAAAAAUCAUUGGAAGUUGGAGCAGUCAUUGGAGGCCUCCAGAGAGCUUUUGGACUUGCAAGAUGGUUAAGGUCUUUACUGGGAGGAGUGUUAAGUAGCAAGGCAGGAGGAUUUGUCAAAGAGGAAUCCACAGGGCAGGAGAGGCAAUAUGAAAAGGAAAUAAAUCUAGCGGCGGUGAGCUAUAACACAAAUAAAUAGAUUGAGGAGGAUAGCAGAGGUAUAGAUGUUCUAAAGAAAAAGCUACAAGGAAAGGGUGGGAAACGGAUACAGGGGAAAAAAACUGGGAAGGAAAAAAAUGAAAAUGAAUCACCUAAUUAAUGGGUGGGAAUGGUGGCUGAUGGUUUCCAGGGGCACAAUUUCUAGUCCAAUUAUCUGUCAAAAAUGCUUUGGCUUGGUGGCCAAAGGAAACUUAGGAGAAACCUCCCUGCUAAAAUACUUGAAUGCUUUCCCAAAACCUCUAUUUUUAUUUCUCUUAUUUGAAAGAAUAUGAAAAACAGCGUUAUACCUUUGACCAAGAAUAUAAUUUUAAAGUCCUGAUUCCAGAAUUCUUUGGAAUUAAUGAAUGUGUGGUGUGGUCUUUAUCUUAUCACUUUGGAAAGCACCUGACAUCUUUUGAGCCAGAGCAUAACCUAAUAAAUUACAUUCGUGUGGGUGGUUGGGCAGUAACUAUGAGAAAGAGCUAGGGAUUAUGCCUAACUGGAAGGAGGGAACAAAGAAGAGGGUGAACUGCUACUCUUCAAAUCACUUUUCUCUUCCUUAGCAUCUGGUUUGUUCAUGAGAAGUACAUCAUCCACCUGAAGAAUCUGAGCAGUUAUUUGUGGAUCAUAAAGAACAAAUUUAGUUUCCUUUGGUCUAUUUAUUAUACUUAUUUAAUACAUUGCUUUAAUACAGGGUGAGAAAAUACUUAAGAUAAUUUUUCAAGAAGCUUCUUUAAUACAAUAAUAUCUUAUUUGUUUCAUCAGGAUGCUAUAAAAAGUUGUAGCCAAAUGAAAGUUUCAGUAGGUGAUAUAUUUCUGACAGAAUUCAGCCUAUUUACAGCCAGUAGACACAGUGAAGUAAGAUUAUAUGUCCUACUCUCAAUGGAGGACAAAUAAAUUCUUAGUAAUUGAUUAAGGACACUCCUUGUGGACACCCUAGAUGUAGAAUACCAUCUCUCUUAAAAAAGAAAGAAAGAAUGAUAGGGAACAUGUAAAGUAUAUGAGAAAGAAUUAUGUUUUAUUUUGUGUUCAUGGAGAAUAUGGGUUCCCUUUAAUAUUGAAUAGGAAAAAAAGAGAAAUGUGAUUAGAAAUUUUCUUGUUAUAGAUCAUUAAGUAUGAGUGUAAAAAUUUUUUUUAAGUAUAUUAUACAGUUUUCCAAUAUUACAUGGAGGCAGCACCUUGAGUGUCCUCAAAGACAUUGCUCAAUACCCACUCGCCCUUUUUUUUUUAAGCUAAGAAAAGUACGACGAUUUAAUAUUUUUCUACAAGAAUAGUCCACUUUUGGAGAUUUUCAUUAUUUUUUAAAGAAAAAAAAUUGGUUACAAACAGCAACUGAAAGAACAUUCUUUUUUAAAAAAAAGCCACAGAAAAAUUGAGUUAUUUUUAUAAUGAUAAUACUUUAUGCAGAUCUGUGGUCUUUCAUCAAAGAACUUCCAAGUACUUUUCAUAUGUUGACUCAUCAAUCCAUGACACACUUAGAAGAUUGGGCAGUAAUUCUGCUUCCAUUUGGUUUCAAAGAACUCACUGUGUCCUAAGACAUGUGGACUCCCUUUUUUCCUUUCUUUUUUCUUUUUCUUUUUCUUUUCUUUCUUUUUUUUUUUUUUUUGUUUCUUAUUAAAGGCCAGAAGAAAUAUGGCUUGGUCCCAACCCGCUAAGAACUCAAUGUGAUGAAGGAAGGAGCCAUGGAAAAGCUCUUCAAAUUCCCAGUAAGACAUGCCAUGACUUAAAAACCAGAGAUGGAAAUCUCUACAUAUUUUUGAAGGGUCCAGAAAGGCAUUCAAAAGAUUUUGAGCCCUAAAUUACUGUAGAAUACAGAAGGCAGAAUUUCUUUGCUGAAUUGACAUUUUAAUCAGUGUUUUCUUAUUUAUUUUUUAACAGGGUAACUAUAUUAUUUAUAAUAUCCCUGUCCCACAUGAAUUUAUGCCUUUCACCUGUGUUGGGAAAGAGGCUCAGGGAUGGAUGGAUUUUUGGCUAAAGAAUUCCUCUGUAAAUACUUCCCAGGGCAAGGGUGGGAAAACAGGCUGCCAGUAAUUAGAAGUUUCAUGAAGUAGCCAUUAAGGUUUUGUUUAUUAACAGUUGCAAGAUUUACUCUUGUCUUAUUGAUUUCCUUUGAUAGGUAAAGUUCAGUGACCUUUCUGGCGACUCUUUGAGUUGUUAGGGACCUGGGAGGGGGGGCAUAUUUUUCAACUCAAGGGCCUUAUAUAUAUAUUCUUUUUUUGCCCACAUGCCUUUUAAUUACUUCACUUUCUAUUCAAGAAUCAUGUGAAAAUAUUGUUUAUGAGUAUUGUUAAAAUAAAAACUUUAGACAAAUUAUGUUUAACAUAGUUUAAUGAGCAAGAAAAAAUUAAAUGCUUCAUGAAUCAGGCAGCCUCUAGAAUCAGAACAAUUUCAGAGAGACUCUUGGGGCUGCCACAUGGUUGGAUAAGAUUUAUGAACAGAAAAAGAAAAGUGAUGUACAGAAAACAGAAGUGAGGUGCAGAAACAGCUGGAUUGGUUACAGGUCAGUGUUUGCCUUAUUUGAACAUGGUUUGAACAGUUGGCCACCUGUACGCUGCAAUGGCUGAGGCUCAGCUCUGAUUGCCGAAGCAUACUCCUCAGAAGGUUAAUCUUGGGGUGUAUUGCAACUAGAAUGUGGCAGAGUCCAGAUCUGGCAGCCAACAACUGUGGUCAUGGGCACCAGCAAAAAUCCUGAUGGGGGAGGAGGCCUAUGAGCAAAUAAGGGAGAGACUGAAGAAUGAAGUCACUCAGAUGAAGGAGCAAGUACCUGGUUUCACACGAGGCCUGGCAAUUUUACAGGCUGGCGACAGACAUGAUUCCAAUCUUUAUAUAAAUGUGAAGCUGAAGGCUGCUGAAGAGGUUGGGAUCAAAGCCACUCACAUUAAAUUACCAAGAACAGCCACAGAAUCUGAGGUGUUAAAGUACAUUAGAUCUUUGAAUGAAGACUCUACCGUACAUGGAUUCAUACUGCAGCUACCUUUAGAUUCAGAAAAUGCUAUUAACAUUGAAGCAGUGAUCAAUGCUAUCACACCCGAAAAGGAUGUGGAUGGAUUGACUAGUAUCAGUGCUAGGAAACUCACUAGAGGUGAUCUAAAUGACUGUUUUGUCCCUUGUACGCCUAAAGGAUGCUUGGAACUCAUCAAAGAGACAGGGGUGGAGAUCGCCGGAAAGUACGCCAUGGUGGUCGGGUGCAGUAAAAUAGUAGGAGCCCCAAUGUAUGACUUGCUUCUGUGGAACAAUGCCACAGUGACCACCUGCCACUCUAAGUCUGCCAGUCUGGGUGAGGAGGUAAAUAAGGUGACAUCCUGGUGGUUGCAACUGGUCAGCCUGAAAUGGUGAAAGGAGAGUGGAUCAAACCUGGGGCAAUAGUCAUUGACUAUGGGAUCAAUUAUGUCCCAGAUGAUACAAAAUCAAAUGGGAGAAGGAUUGUGGGUGAUGUGGCAUACAAUGAGGCCAAAGAGCGGGCGGGAUUCAUCACUCCUGUUCUCGGUGGCGUCGGGCCCAUGACGGUGGCAAUGCUGAUGCAGAGCACGGUAGAGAGUGCAAGGGGUUUCCUGGAGAAAUACAAGCCAGGAAAUGGAGUAUUCAGUAUAACAACCUUAACCUGAAGACACCUGUUCCAAGUGACAUUGCUAUAUCACGAUCUUACAAACCAAAGCCCAUUGGUACACUGGCUCGAGAAUUUGGCCUGUUCUCUGAAGAGGUGGAAUUGUAUGGUGAGACAAAGGCCAAAGUCCUGCUGUCAGCACCAGAACGCCUGAAACACCAGCCUGACGGGAAAUACGCGGCGGUGACUGGAAUAACUCCAACGCCCCUGGGAGAAGGGAAAAGUACAACCACAGUCGGGCUGGUGCAAGCCCUGGGUGCCCAUCUUUUCCAGAACGUCUUUGCGUGUGUGCAACAGCCUUCCCAGGGCCCCACCUUUGGAAUAAAAGGUGGUGCUGCAGGAGGUGGCUACCCCCAGGUCAUUCCUAUGGAAGAGUUUAAUCUCCACCUCACUGGUGACAUCCAUGCCAUCACUGCAGCUAAUAACCUGGUUGCUGCGGCCAUUGAUGCCCGCAUAUUCCAUGAACUGACCCAGACAGACAAGGCUCUCUGUAAUCGUUUGAUGCCCUCAGUAAAUGGAGUGAGAAAGUUUUCUGAUAUCCAAAUCCGAAGGUUAAGGAGACUAGGCAUUGAAAAGACUGACCCUACCACACUGACAGACGAAGAGAUAAACAGAUUUGCAAGAUUGGAUAGUGAUCCAGAAACCAUAACUUGGCAAAGAGUGUUGGAUACCAAUGAUAGAUUCCUGUGGAAGAUCACAAUUGGACAGGCUCCAAUGGAGAAAGGGCACACACGGACGACCCAGUUUGAUAUCUCAGUGGCCAGUGAAAUCAUGGCUGUCCUGGGCCUCACCAGUUCUCUGGAAGACAUGAGAGAGGGACUGGGCAAAAUGGUGGUGGCCUCCAGCAAAACAGGGGAGCCCAUCAGUGCGGAAGACCUGGGGGUGAGUGGCGCGUUGACAGUGCUUAUGAAGGACGCGAUCAAGCCUAACCUCAUGCAGACGUCAGAGGGCACUCGGGUGUUCGUCCACGCCGGCCCGCUCGCCAACAUCGCACGUGGGAAUUUGUCUAUCAUCGCAGACCGGGUCGCACUCAAGCUUGUCGGCCCAGAAGGGUUUGUGGUGACCGAAGCUGGAUUGGGAGCAGACAUUGGAAUGGAAACGUUUUUUAACAUCAAAUGCCGGUACUCUGGCCUCCGCCCUCAGGUGGUGGUGCUCGUUGCUACUGUCAGGGCUCUUAAAAUGCAGGGGGCAGCCCCACGGUCACCGCUGGACUGCCUCUUCCCAAGGCUUACACAGAGGAGAACCUGGAGCUGGUUGAAAAAGGUUUCAGUAACUUGAAGAAACAAAUUGAAAAUGCAAGAAUGUUUGGAGUUCCGGUUGUAGUGGCUGUGAAUGCGUUCAAGACAGAUACAGAGGCUGAGCUGGACCUCAUCACCCGCCUUGCCCGAGACCAUGGAGCUUUUGAUGCUGUGAAGUGCACUCACUGGGCAGAAGGGGGCAAGGGUGCCUUCGCCCUGGCGCAGGCUCUCCAGAGAGCCGCACAGGCACCCAGCAGCUUCCGACUCCUUUAUGACCUCCAGCUCCCAGUUGAGGGUAAAAUCAGGAUCAUUGCGCAGAAGAUCUACGGGGCAGAUGACAUUGAAUUGCUCCCUGAAGCUCAGCACGGAGCCGAAGUCUACACGAAGCAGGGCUUUGGGAAUCUACCCAUCUGCAGGGCCAAGACACACUCGUCUUUGUCUCACAACCCAGAGCAAAAAGGCGUGCCUACAGGCUUUGUUCUGCAUAUUCGCGACAUCCGUGCCAGCGUUGGGGCUGGUUUUCUGUACCCCUUAGUAGGAACGAUGAGCACAAUGCCUGGACUCCUUGCCCGGCCCUGCUUUUAUGAUACUGAUUUGGACCCUGAAACUGAACAGGUGAAUGGACUGUUCUAAACAGAUCAAUCUGUCUUCAAGGAGCUACUUUGAAAGUUUGGCCAGUAUCUCUUCAGGCCCACUGGGAGUUAGUCAAGAGAAGUCAGCCCCUUCCCUGAAGAUCUUCUGAAAUAUAUAGUGAGAGUUUCUCCAGAAGACUUAAUUCUCAUCAUCAUGUAUAAAUUAACAUAAAUCAUGUACAUUUCUGUUCACUUUAGUGAAGAUCCACAGAAUAAAAGGAAAUAAUUUUGCUAAAAA